rnacentral:lncRNA from 1 species
AUCAACAAAAAUCAAAAUUAAAAAUUAUUCCAAGAAGAAGUAAAAAAGAAAGAAGAAAAAAGAAUGGCUCUACCUAAGGGAUUGAUUGUCUUUGCCUUUUGCAUGCUCAUGUUGAGCACUACUAUGAUAAUGACAACAACAGCAACGGAACCAGAAACAGAACAGAGAGACAUUGCAGAUACUGAUAGCAGCACCUUUGGAAAGGAUGACAGCAGUACCGGUGAUAAGAAUGUCAAAGAAGUUGCCAAGAGGUUGUUUAAAUAAUAACAAAGGAAUUCAUUAUUAAGCUAUAAUUUGUGUAUGUAAUAAGAAUUUCAAAUGGAAUGAAGUCAUAUGUCUGAUUCUCUUUAGUGAUAAGAAUGCAAAUAUAUAUAUAUAUAUAUAUAUAUAUAUAUGUACACACACCCGUUUCCUUAAAUAUGAAAAUUUUCAUAUUUGAAUAAAUUUUCAAGUUACUUUAUUUUGUUUCAUCAUUAUUAUAAGUUUCCUCAAUUAAGUUAUUUUUUAUUUUGGUAGUUUUGUUUCCAACCAAAGCUCUCUUUGUCUUGAUAUCUUGUUCGAAAGGUAAAACUAGAGCUUGCAUUAACCAAAAUGAAGUAAUACAGCAUGAGAAUAAAAUCGGGAGGGAUAGUCCCACUCCUGAAGAUCAGACCCAAAUAGGCACUAAACGCUGUUCUCUAACCUCUUACCAAAGAGAUAGGACAUUCAACAAGUUCAUUCAUCAGAAUUUUAUAAUCACUAACAAUCUGACAAAAGUAUGAAGAGUCCCCUUGCCUUUUAUAAAGAGCCUAGAAAAGGAUUAGGGAUUCAGUUUCAAAGAUUAUAUGGUGAAAGCCUUUACCUUUUACCCAACUUAAUGCUUCUAUAUUAGAAACGGCCGUAAUGCCAACUGUCAGGCUGCAACCACCACUCCCCAGCUAUCCCCCAAGACCCAGCCCGCUCCCAUAACUAGAGAAGAAACAUGAAGGGCUGUAUCUGAGUUACUGUUGACUCAAGUGUCAAUUUUAUCUUAAGAUUUUAAUGAUUAUAUAAAAUAAAUAAAUUUAAUAUUCUUGUAUGUGCUAAUAUUAUUUCAUGCAGAUUUUUAAAAUAUGAUAAUUAUUAAAGAAAUGAAGAUUUUCAUGAUUAUAUAAAAUAAAUAAAUUUAAUAUUCUUGUAUGUGCUAAUAUUAUUUCAUGCAGAUUUUUAAAAUAUGAUAAUUAUUAAAGAAAUGAAGUUCAUACAACCUAAGAUUUUUAUUUGAAGACCGUGAAGAUUAAUAAAGAUAUUUUCUAUUGGUUAGUACUAUAAUAAGUCUUAGGAAAUUAUUAUAGGAUAGAGAGUAUAUAAUUUUAUAAGCACAAAUCUAUUUUAUCUCUCUCCAAAUUGUUUUAAAAUGUUUUUGAAUAAAUUUAUUAAGAGGAUAUAGCCAAAAUUUUUACUUUUCACGUUUUCCCAUCUAAGAUAUCUUUGGAGUAAAUAUCCUUGUUGGCUAUUAAACGAAAUUCUGCAAAAAGCAGUUUCUGAUUUAACACAACUGUCUAUUUCUAAUACAGCUGGCUGUUUCUGCUGUAAAAGUUACACUGUUUUCUAAAUUAAACCUUUCACCUCCAACAACCCUUUUAAUUGCAACUCAUGCAUUGCCUCUUCAAUUUCAAAAUGUUAGAAACUUCAUUGCUCAUUAAAGCAAAAAAUCUCAACGUUAACUUAUAAGAGAUUAUCAUCUUUUCAUUUAAAAACCCUUUCCUCUUUUAAAAAGAUGGAGUUUUUGCAAAGAGUAUGAGUCCAUUGUUUAACGUUUAAAUCUCUCGAAGCUCUUUCUUCAAUUCUCCUAUUUCUUUUCGUCUUUUUACUUCAAGAAAAAUUUUUAAGAGAAAAGAAAGUUUAUUAACAACAUUUUUCUGAUCUUUAAAUCUGUUUUCUAAAUUCGUUUUCUGUUCUUCCUGUGCUUAUAUUUGCAUUUCUCUCUGUCUAUAUAGAUUCUGUAAUCUGUUGUAGACAGGCUCUUUAUUUGAAAACUUUUGUGUAAUAGCUUAGGUGAAAAGCUAUGGUGUUAUAGGUUAUCAAGCGACCUUCUCCUUGUGUGAGAUUCUAAUAUCUUGAUUUGAGUUUCUGUUCUUUGCAAAAACAGAAAGGGUUGAGGUUGACUAGAACCUUUGGAAAAUCUAGUGGGAUAAAGGUAGUUAGAUUUAGUUGAUAUAUUUCCUUGUAUUGUUGGUUUGUCUCUUACCCUUGAAAAGACAUAACAUAGUAGAGGAUCUCAAGAUGCGUCUUGAGGAGUGAAUGUAGGCGAAUUAGUGUCAAACCACUAAAAAUCUCUGUGUUUAUCUUCUUUUACUUUUUGAAGUUCUGCUUGAUUAUAUUCUAUUUACACAACUGUUAAUCUGUUUAGAAAUGCAAAGUUGUUAAUGAGUUUCUGAUUCUAAUCGUGAGUAAACUUUAUCUCUGUGGAAUACUAGAACUCUCGAUUUCUGUAUUGUGAUUAUACCAAGUUCUAAUCUGUCCUUUUAUAUUCAGUGUAAUUCACAAUAUGAAUUAUAAUUAGUUUUUUUAAUCUUGCUUAAAGUUUUGUGAACCAGUUCUAAAAUGCAAUAAUUGUUUUUCACAUAGUCUUUCUAAAAUACAAAUAAACUUUGUGAAGUUGUUUUAAUCGCAAUAGCUGUUUUUUACAGAGUCUUUCUAAAAUUGCUUAAACUUUGUGAAGCUGUUCUAAUCGCAACAACUGUUCUUCACAGAGUCUUUCUAAAAUANNNNNNNNNNNNNNNNNNNNNNNNNNNNNNNNNNNNNNNNNNNNNNNNNNNNNNNNNNNNNNNNNNNNNNNNNNNNNNNNNNNNNNNNNNNNNNNNNNNNNNNNNNNNNNNNNNNNNNNNNNNNAAUAAGCUUUGUGAGGAAGUUCUAAACUUGAUAACUAACUCUCACAAAUGCUUUCUAAUUCCGCUGCAACAGAAUUCUGAUUUUUGUUUUUGAAAGUUAAAUUUUUAGAAAACCUAAUUCACCUCCCUCUUGAGUUGUGUCAUACAUAAACAGGACCCACAAUCUGGUAUCAGAGCUCUUGACUCUUGACUUACCGAAGCUUAACAGCUUGAGAGAAAAAAUCACAUGGCAGCCCCACUUCCUCUUACAUCUUUAGAAGGUCAAUCUGUUUCUAGACCACCUCUGUUCAAUGAUUCUAAUUACUCUUACUGAAAAAUCAAAAUGGAAAAUUUCAUAAAAUUAGUUGAUAUAAAUUGUUAGAGAAACAUUAUUACUGGUCCUUGUAUUCCUAUAAUAUGAAUUAUUAAAAAACCGUAAAUGAAUUUGGCACGAGAACCAAAAUUAACAUUAUAUUACAAAUUAGAAGAAAUAAAAUAUUAUUUAUUUUUGAAAUUUUUAUUUAAAAUUUUUAUUUUUUGCAAAAAAUAUUUAUAAACCACACUACUUGUAACUUACCACGUCUUACAUAAAAAAAAAAAAAAAAACUACUUUUUACAUACUAUUGAAAAUUGUUAUAUAAUAUUAGUAACGUACUUGUUACCAAAAUUAUUAAUAAUUUCUUUUAUUUUAAAUAAUAAAAUUAAUCUAAAAAAACUUAAAUGGAAAAUUUUGCAUACCUAAAUUAAAAAUUAAUUUAUUAUAACUCACAUUACCAUGACAAGCACCAAAGACAAUAUUAUAAUCAUAAGUAACGGUAACCUUUUAUUUAUUUUUUUUUUUUUUCCCUUCAAGUUACCUUAACCAAAGGUCCCAUAAGCUUCUUUCCUGCAGGUGCUAUUUUGUGGGAUUAAAUUAUUGUCUCCCAAUGAUUUACCUUCGUGUAUAUUCUUAUAUUUAUGGUAUGUCUAUUACUCUAUACACUAACUACCAUAUUUCUCUUCAUUACAUUAUUUUUUAUUUAACCGAACUACUUAUAUUUUGCACACACAAAAAUAUAUUGGUCAAGGAUUGAAGUUUAUAGUCUUGAAUGACCACUUCUAUUCUUCCAUUUUCCUAAUAAUUAGCAACUAAUUAGUUAUUUGACCCUUUCUCCAAUUCUAAUUAGCAAGACUCUUAAGAAAAUAAGCCUAAUUAUAGCAAAAUUCUUAAUAUAAAUAAAUCCAUAUCUCUUUCAUCAUCGAUCAACAAAAAUAAAAAUAAAAAAUCAUUUCAAGAAGAAGAAGAAGAAUGGCUCUACCUAAGGGACUGAUUGUCUUUGCCUUUUGCAUGCUCAUGUUGAGCACAACUAUGAUAAUGACAACAACAGCAGAGGAACCGACAGAAAUUGCAGAUACAGACAGCAGCACCUUUGGACAGGAUGAUAGCAGCACCUUCGGCACAAAUGUCAAAGGAGCAGGCUACAAGAGGUUGUUUAAAUAAUAAUAAAAGAAUUCAUCAUUAAGCUAUAAUUUAUGCAGGUAAUAAGAAUUUCCAAUAGAUUGAAGUCAUGUCUGAUUCUCUCUAUGAAUGAGAAUGCAAAUAUGCAUUGUAAUAGAGUUUCUUCAAAAUCCUAUGAAAAAUUCUGUAUUUGAAUAAAUUUCCUAAGUUACUUCUAUUUUGUUUCAUCAUUAUUAUAAGUUUCCUGAAUUAAAUUAUUUCUUAUUUUGGUAGUUUUGUU